rnacentral:rRNA from 1 species
CUACGGGGGGCUCCAGUGGGGAAUAUUGGACAAUGGGGGAAACCUUGAUCCAGCAAUGCCGCGUGUGUGAAGAAGGCCUGCGGGUUGUAAAGCACUUUCGGUUGGGAGGACUGCUUCUAGCACUAAUAUUGUUGGAAGUUGACGUUACCUUCAGAAGAAGCACCGGCUAACUCCGUGCCAGCAGCCGCGGUAAUACGGAGGGUGCAAGCGUGUAAUCGGAAUUACUGGGCGUAAAGCGCGCGUAGGCGGCUAGAUCAGUCGGGUGUGAAAGCCCCGGGCUUAACCUGGGAACUGCAUCCGAUACUGGCUAGCUUGAGUACAGGAGAGGAGAGUGGAAUUCCACAUGUAGCGGUGAAAUGCGUAGAUAUGUGGAGGAACACCAAUGGCGAAGGCAGCUCUCUGGCCUGAUACUGACGCUGAGGUGCGAAAGCGUGGGGAGCAAACAGGAUUAGAUACCCGAGUAGUC